ACGAACGCUGGCGGCGUGCUUCACACCUGCAAGUCGCACGGAAAGGCCCUGCUUUUGUGGGGUGCUCGAGUGGCGAACGGGUGAGUAACACGUGAGUAACCUGCCCUUGACUUUGGGAUAACUUCAGGAAACUGGGGCUAAUACCGGGUAGGAGCUCCUGCUGCAUGGUGGGGGUUGGAAAGUUUCGGCGGUUGGGGAUGGACUCGCGGCUUAUCAGCUUGUUGGUGGGGUAGUGGCUUACCAAGGCUUUGACGGGUAGCCGGCCUGAGAGGGUGACCGGCCACAUUGGGACUGAGAUACGGCCCAGACUCCUACGGGAGGCAGCAGUGGGGAAUAUUGCACAAUGGGCGGAAGCCUGAUGCAGCAACGCCGCGUGCGGGAUGACGGCCUUCGGGUUGUAAACCGCUUUCGCCUGUGACGAAGCGUGAGUGACGGUAAUGGGUAAAGAAGCACCGGCUAACUACGUG
rnacentral:rRNA from 1 species